CAACAUUUCAUUCGCCUUAUAAAUAUUUUUUACCACAUUUUCAAUGAUAUUCACAUUAUUUUUUUACUGGCUAUUGUUGUUAUUUUAUUUAAUGUGUGACUAUUUAAUUACAACUUUUAACUGCCCAUCACUUAUAAAUUAUGUUAUAUCAUUGAGUGUCAUAAUGAAAAUGUAGUUUUUAUUAUACUGUAGGUGUAUGAAUUAAUAUACACAUUUUACAUAAUAUAUGGCUUUAAAAUAUCUAUUUCUGAUCCAAUUAAACUAUAUUAAUUGAUAAUCACGCUUUAUCAUUGGGUAAAAUUUAGAUACAAUCAUUUAUUUUAUGUUUUUAACAGUAAUGAAUGUUAUAAAUAAUGUAAAAAUUGUUUUUCUAGUGCAAUGAUCAAUGUCAAAUCGAAUCUAAAAUUCAACAAUCAACAUGAUUGAAUAUAUAACCUCAACAUCAAUAAUGAAAAGCUGAAAUCAUGUGCAAUGAUCAAUGUCAAAUCGAAUCUAAUAUUCAACAAUCAACAUGAUUGAAUAUAUAACCUCAACAUCAAUAAU